rnacentral:tRNA from 2 species
GGGCGGUUAGCUCAGCCGGUCAGAGCGCGUGCCUUACAAGCACGAGGCCGCAGGUUCGAGCCCUGCACCGCCCACCA